rnacentral:tRNA from 1 species
AGCGGAGUAGUAGCAGAUGGUAGCUCACUUGGCUCAUAACCAAGAGGUCGAGGUUUCGAGUCCCUUCUCCGCAA